CCCCUGGUGCCCCCUCGGGACGUGUCUCUAGAGCGAAAACCUCGGUCGGGGGGCUUUGUGAAGAGGCUCGGGGGACUUCGGGCUCGACGUCAGAGGGGGCGUCGAUGGCAACGGCCACCUGAGUAGGUGCGGCCGAGCUCGUCUCUUCUGCUCUAGCUCUCUUCGCCGACCCCAAAGUAGCGGUGCCUUUUCUCUUAUGGGUUUUAAGACCUUGGGCC
rnacentral:lncRNA from 1 species